rnacentral:tRNA from 1 species
GCCUUCGUGGUGUAGUAGUCAGCACGCUCAAUGCUUAACCGAGAGGUCCGUGGUUCGAUUCUCGGCGAAGGCG